rnacentral:ribozyme from 1 species
ACAAGCAUCGAUUUCAAGCAUGCAUGUCGCGCGACAUUUUGCCAAGCGGGUAUCUCUCCAAUAAACUGAGCUUGGGUACACGGGGAAACCCAACCCCUUGGGAGGAUGGGUUAUAUGGCUAAAUUGAGCAGA